rnacentral:rRNA from 1 species
GUCUUUAAUAGAUUAUAUUUUAAAGUCUAACCUGCCCAGUGAUAUUUAAACGGCCGCAGUAUUUUGACUGUGCUAAGGUAGCAUAAUCAUUAGUUUUUUAAUUGAGGACUGGAAUGAAGGGUUGAAUGGAAAAAUUACUGUCUUCGGAUUAAUAUUUUGAAUUUUACUUUUAAGUUAAAAGGCUUAAAUUUUUUUAAAAGACGAGAAGACCCUUUAGAGUUUUAUUUUAAUCAUUAAUUAUUUCAAUUGGAAUAUAUUAAUUUAGUGAUUUGAAUUUAGUUGGGGUGAUUAUUAAAUAUAGAAAACUUUAAUUUUUAAAAACAUUGAUUUAUGAAUAAUUGAUCCUUAUUUAGAUUAUUAGAUUAAAUUACCUAAGGGAUAACAGCGUAAUUUUUCUAGAGAGUUCUUAUUGAUAGAAAAGAUUGCGACCUCGAUGUUGGAUUAAAAUAUGUAGUUUAGUGCAGAAGCUAACUAACUUGGUCUGUUCGACCAAUAAAAUUUUACA